CAUCCAAUUGUUUUUUGUUUUGGAAUUAUUAUCUUUGGUUGCGUUUUGUCGGAACUUGAGAGUUUCAAUUGAUUUUGGACUCUGCUGACAUCUGAUAAGCAAGGGCUCACCAAUUUUUUGUGGUCCGUAGUGUACACGAUAUCUACUACUUGAGGCAGCCACCAAAACUCUGACAUGAACUACUUUUACGACAAUCAUUGGAUCACACAAAUUAUUUUACUCUCUCUUUUGUCCAUAUACUUAGUAAAAAUGUCAGUAAAAAUCUUAAUUUAACUUCUAUUUAUUUUUUUAAAUCGCCGUAAUCUCUCCCUCUCUCUGUAUAUAUAGGUCAUGGGGGGUGUAAAAGAAAAUCAAUGAGAUGAACAACUCAAUUUGCUCUCUCUACUAAGGUCGUGUUUGGUUGAAACACUGAAGUUCAGGUAAUCAUUUGUAGGAGCCAAUCAAGGCUCUGAAAUGCAUAUGAUAUUCAAGCGAUUAAUCAUCGGUGGAGAGAUUGUUGAACAAGAAGGCGAGUGGGAGAAAGAAAGAUAAAGAAUCCAAAUAGCAUACGUUUCUAGCUUUACAUUCGGAGGAUUAUUAAUCUAAGAAGAUUUUAAGAGUAUCUAAAAGAUUCAUAUAAAUCAGCGAGAUUCCAGCAUACGGUGAGAGAUUUGAGGCAACGGCAGCAACAAUGAUGAGGAAAGAGUCGGCGAAUGUGACCGGUACCGAACCUCAGAUGAAAAAUGAAGUGCAAUUUGCAAAGUGCGAGUGCUGUGGAUUGACGGAGGAGUGUACAGAGGCGUACAUAGCGAGAGUUCGGGAACGGAACCAAGGGAGGUGGAUAUGUGGACUAUGCGCGGAGGCGGUGAAGGACGAGAUGAUGAGAUCCAAGACAUCGGAGAGAAGGAUCGGAAGAGAUGAAGCUUUGAAUCGACACAUGACAUUUUGCAAGAAAUUCAGAGCAAAAAGUCUGCCACCCAAUCCGACAGACGAGUUGAUAUCAGCGGUGAAGCAGUUGUUGCUGAGGAGCUUGGAUUCGCCGAGGUCAAGCAGAGGAGGUCUUGCUCGAUCACAGAGUUGUUUUUCAGCUAUUGAUAGUUGAAUUUGAAUAGUUUUGGGACGAGUUUGGUAGCCUUGGAGGAAGUAAAUAGCAUUGGACUAGAAUAAUAAGUUUUGGUGUUUCAUUAUGCAUUGGUUGAAUUAGUUGUUGUUCUUGUUCUUGUUCUUGUUGUUUAGACAAUUAUUUAGUGAAAUAUAUAUCUAUAUGGAUUGUUUGUUGUUGAAUCAA